AAGUCGUAACAAGGUUUCCGUAGGUGAACCUGCGGAAGGAUCAUUAACUAUGUGUGAGGAUAACGACGUUGUCCUCAGUACUAUGCGAGUGUUGUAAUGUUAAAAAAAUCGAAUUAUUACAACUUUUAACAAUGGAUCUCUUGGCUCUU
rnacentral:misc_RNA from 1 species